rnacentral:pre_miRNA from 1 species
AGUGGAAUAGCUGGGUCAAAAGGUGGUUCUAUUCCAAGUUUACUAAGGAAUCUCCAUACUGCUUUCCAGAUUGGUUGCACCAAUUUGCAGUCCUACCAGCAAU